rnacentral:rRNA from 1 species
CGGCGUGGCUAAGACAUGCAAGUCGCACGGAGGUAGCAAUACCUUAGUGGCGAACGGGUGAGUAAUGUAUCGCUAACGUACCCUUAAGUCCGGGAUAGCCAGGGGAAAACUCUGGGUAAUACCGGGUGACAUCUUCCUUUCGCAUGGAGGGAAGCUCAAAGGAGCAAUCCGCUGAAGGAGCGGGCGAUAUCGUAUCAGCUAGUUGGUGAGGUAACGGCUCACCAAGGCGAACGAACGCGUAGCCGGACUGAGAGGUCGGUCGGCCACAUUGGGACUGAGACACUGCCCAGAACUCCUACGGGGGGCUGCAGUAACGAAUCUUCCGCAAUGCACGCAAGUGUGACGGAGCGACGCCGCGUGUGGGACAAAGUCCUUCGGGAUGUAAACCACUGUCAGGGGUUACCAAGUUCUGAGGAGCCCCAGAAGGAAGGGACGGCUAACUCUGUGCCAGCAGCCGCGGUAAU